CUGGCUAUAGAGCGUGGCUGCUCGUCGCUCCACUCCAUUGGAUGGGGAGAUGCUGGAAUUCUGUUCCUCCCCCAUGCUGCUGUCUGGGAGAUGUAGCAGAGACCUCUUCUGAUAGGAAGGGAAACAGAUCCAGAUGGAGGAAACAUCUGAUAAAGUUUGCCUAAACAGCCAGCAGUCUAUCAAUCAUGACUCUUCCAACCCUCAUCCUGCAUCUAUAUCUAGAUUCAAAGAAGUCCAUGCAGGAGGCAGUCUACACUUUUCAAGAGAAAAUGGAAGGACUUCAGAGUUGAUUUGAUGAAGCUCAGUAAAAAACAUAAUUUUAUGUUUCUCUUUUAAGUUGUUGGCUGUUUAUUAUGAAGCCAUUUAAAGAGUUUUCUUGUUUAGCAGUGUAUAUAUACCGCAGAUCAUGGUUACUGAGACUCUAGAUGACAGAAGGGUGUGGUCUGUGUCCUUGGGUGACUUAAAAAUAAAAGCAGAACUUUUA
rnacentral:antisense_RNA from 1 species